CAUGUGCAGUCAUUCCAUAAGUGGAAAUAAUGGAGAUCUGAUUAAGCUACCCUGGGUGGGAUGGCACACAAUUAUGCCACUCCCUCACUCUGAGAGCAAAGGAGGCACAGAAGGACAGCUCACACCUGACUUUAAAGGAUGGCAACAGAGACAAUAUUAAUUAAGAGACUAGGAGUGGCACAAGCUGGACCAUAUUUCUGAUAAAUUUGCUUUUUGAAAAAUGAUUCUACAGGAAGAAAAUGGCCAAAAAAAGAUGUUGAUUUUCUUUCCCUGGAUCCCUCCCGCUCUAUGUGCAAAGAUCAUAGUGACGUGCCAAAGAGAGGCAGGGGCCAAGCGUUCUGCUGCAGCGACAUAGUGGCUGAAACUUCAUUUCCAAUGAGGACAGUGCCCAGGAAUGUGAGCAGUACCUUCUGAAGAUGUGCCAUGCUGUGCCAGCAGGAACGUCCCUUCAUGGGAGGGGAGAGAAGAGAGCACGGGAGCCAAACAGGCUGAAAGCAGGCAGCCUUGGACCGGGGGAAGGUCUGGGAACCAAGAUGUUGUUGGAAGGAAGAGAAUAUUUAUUGACACGUGAUGAUGAGCAGGACUCUCAUUUCAUCUCUCGAGUAACACUGUGAGACAGGGGAACUGAAGCUCAGAAAAUUUGCUCAUGCUCUAUAGCUACUCAACAGCAAGGCUGGAGGUGAAAUCUAACUUCAACACCCAUGCUCCUGAUGACGAUGGCAUACUUUCCACACUUUACCUCGCCAUCCACCCAGCAUAAUGGUGAAACUGAAAUAUGAAAAAGAUAUUGUGGAACUUGCCUCCAAGGACAGACUUGUACCUGAGAUAGGAUGCAAACCUAUGCUGUCUGAUUCCAGAGUCGGUGUCCUCGAUCUCUGCAUUCUACUGCUUGGGUGGCAGAGCAUGACCUGUGUGGAAAUGGGAGCAGCUGCAGCGCCCAGCCCGGAGGCAGGGGAGGGCUGUCCGCUGGAUCACAGUUCCACGGUUCGCCGCCUUGGUCAGGUUCUCGUCCUCCCGCUGCAUUACUCAUGGACGCUGUUACUAAUCAUGCUUACUCACACUGAUUUCUUUUUUCUCCCUGAGGACGAACUACCUCAUCCCUCCCUAAUUUAAUGGCUGAAAUUAGGCAAAAGCAGCCAUCUGAUACAUGUUAGGCAUCACCCCAGAAAGGAAGUCAUCACACAAGAUAUUACAAAAAACCUUUUAAUGUUUCUAUUCUCUUAACUGCCCAUGCAAAUCAGGUAGAAGAAUUCCAAAUGGAGAAAAAGAUGCUCGAAGCUGUGGCUGUCAUGACCUUUCCUGUGUCAGGUCACCCGGAGAACGUACCUUUGCGCUGGGCUGUUUCUCCCCAGCAGCAAAUGCUGAGCCUCCUGCGUGUCAGAUACAUCACAUGCGCUCUCAUCGGGGUUACAGCACAGGGAAGUUUUAUCGCCAUCACCCUCAUUUCAUAAAUGAGGAAACUGAGGCUCGCAGAAGUGAAAGGACUAGCUGGAGGUUAGCCAGUGAGUGGUGGAUUCAAACCUAGGACUAGCUUGACUCUAUGAUCUCUUUCUACCUCUCUCUACGGGCUAGCUCUUUUCCCUCUUCCCAGGGCCCCCGAUUGACACUGUAAGUUAAAGGGAUUCGGUGAAGCUGGCAAUAGCCAGUCCUGUGAACACUGGCAUUUUUAUGAUGCGUUGGGUCUCACCUAUGCUCUGGCUGACUAAAGCUUGUGGAAGAAUGAAGGUGAUGCCUGGGUCUGUCAUCUCUGGAUCCCUAGAUACAAGAGAUACCUCAGCUCUGUAGAGCUGGAUCUGGGCAGGCAAUGUCGUGUCACAGUGACCAUGUCCAGUAACAACUGGACUGCACCCAAGGGAACUUCGGAUAUACAUCUCUAUUUCUCCCUCACUAGAACUCAAAUGUGGCAUUUAGAAAUAUUUCUAAAUGUCAAAAACUACCAUGAAGAUAGAGUCUGACUGCCCCCCUCACUCACAC